rnacentral:rRNA from 1 species
AGCGAACGCUGGCGGCAGGCCUAACACAUGCAAGUCGAACGAACCUUUCGGGGUUAGUGGCGGACGGGUGAGUAACACGUGGGAACGUGCCCUUAGGUUCGGAAUAACUCAGGGAAACUUGUGCUAAUACCGAAUGUGCUCUUCGGGGGAAAGAUUAAUCGCCUUUAGAGCGGCCCGCGUCUGAUUAGCUAGUUGGUUGAGGUAACGGCUCACCAAGGCGACGAUCAGUAGCUGGUCUGAGAGGAUGAUCAGCCACAUUGGGACUGAGACACGGCCCAAACUCCUACGGGAGGCAGCAGUGGGGAAUAUUGCGCAAUGGGCGAAAGCCUGACGCAGCCAUGCCGCGUGAAUGAUGAAGGUCUUAGGAUUGUAAAAUUCUUUCACCGGGGACGAUAAUGACGGUACCCGGAGAAGAAGCCCCGGCUAACUUCGUG